rnacentral:misc_RNA from 1 species
UCAGCCAUUCCAAACACUCUCC